CCCUUAGAUGUCCGGGGCCGCACGCGCGCUACACUGAAGGAAUCAGCGUGGCUUUCUCCCUGACCCGAAAGGGUUGGGAAACCCGUUGAAUCUCCUUCGUGAUAGGGAUUGGGGCUUGAAAUUGUUCCCCAUGAACGAGGAAUUCCCAGUAAGCGCGAGUCAUAAGCUCGCGUUGAUUACGUCCCUGCCCUUUGUACACACCGCCCGUCGCUACUACCGAUUGAACGUGCUGGUGAAAAGUUCGGAUUGGGAAUAGGAGACGGCAACGUAUCCUGUUUCUGAGAAAAUCUUUAAACCCUCCCAUUUAGAGGAAGGAGAAGUCGUAACA
rnacentral:rRNA from 1 species